UACAGAGGUCUCGAGCGUUAGGCGGAAUCACUGGGCUUAAAGCGUGUGUAGGCGGAUCGGUAAGUACCUUGUGAAAUCCCACAGCUUAACUGUGGAACUGCUUGGUAUACUGCCAGUCUUGAGCCAGCUAGGGGCUACCGGAACAAAUGGUGGAGCGGUGAAAUGCGUAGAUAUCAUUUGGAACGCCAAUGGUGAAAACAGGUAGCUGGGGCUGUGCUGACGCUGAGACGCGAAAGCGUGGGGAGCGAACAGG
rnacentral:rRNA from 1 species